CAGCAGCCGCGGGAAAACGUAGGGUGCGAGCGUUAAUCGGAAUUACUGGGCGUAAAGCGUGCGCAGGCGGUUAUAUAAGACAGAUGUGAAAUCCCCGGGCUCAACCUGGGACCUGCAUUUGUGACUGUAUAGCUAGAGUACGGUAGAGGGGGAUGGAAUUCCGCGUGUAGCAGUGAAAUGCGUAGAUAUGCGGAGGAACACCGAUGGCGAAGGCAAUCCCCUGGACCUGUACUGACGCUCAUGCACGAAAGCGUGGGGAGCAAACAGGAUUAGAUACCCGGGUAGUCCCUGUCUCUUAUAC
rnacentral:rRNA from 1 species